AUGGAUAGGGGGUUCUGAGAGGAAGGUCCCCCACAUUGGGAACUGAGACACGGUCCAAACUCCUACGGGAGGCAGCAGUGAGGAAUAUUGGUCAAUGGGCGCAGGCCUGAACCAGCCAAGUAGCGUGAAGGAUGACUGCCCUAUGGGUUGUAAACUUCUUUUAUAAAGGAAUAAAGUCGGGUAUGUAUACCCGUUUGCAUGUACUUUAUGAAUAAGGAUCGGCUAACUCCGUGCCAGCAGCCGCGGUAAUACGGAGGAUCCGAGCGUUAUCCGGAUUUAUUGGGUUUAAAGGGAGCGUAGAUGGAUGUUUAAGUCAGUUGUGAAAGUUUGCGGCUCAACCGUAAAAUUGCAGUUGAUACUGGAUAUCUUGAGUGCAGUUGAGGCAGGCGGAAUUCGUGGUGUAGCGGUGAAAUGCUUAGAUAUCACGAAGAACUCCGAUUGCGAAGGCAGCCUGCUAAGCUGCAACUGACAUUGAGGCUCGAAAGUGUGGGUAUCAAACAGGAUUAGAUACCCUGGUAGUCCACACGGUAAACGACGAAUACUCGCUGUUUGCGAUAUACAGCAAGCGGCCAAGCGAAAGCGUUAAGUAUUCCACCUGGGAGUACGCCGGCAACGGUGAAACUCAAAGGAAUUGACGGGGGCCCGCACAAGCGGAGGAACAUGUGGUUUAAUUCGAUGAUACGCGAGGAACCUUACCCGGGCUUAAAUUGCAGAUGAAUUACGGUGAAAGCCGUAAGCCGCAAGGCAUCUGUGAAGGUGCUGCAUGGUUGUCGUCAGCUCGUGCCGUGAGGUGUCGGCUUAAGUGCCAUAACGAGCGCAACCCUCGUUGUCAGUUACUAACAGGUUCCGCUGAGGACUCUGACAAGACUGCCAUCGUAAGAUGUGAGGAAGGUGGGGAGGACGUCAAAUCAGCACGGCCCUUACGUCCGGGGCUACACACGUGUUACAAUGGGGGGUACAGAGAGCCGCUACCACGCGAGUGGAUGCCAAUCCCAAAAACCUCUCUCAGUUCGGACUGGAGUCUGCAACCCGACUCCACGAAGCUGGAUUCGCUAGUAAUCGCGCAUCAGCCACGGCGCGGUGAAUAAAAUCCCGGGCCUUGCACU
rnacentral:rRNA from 1 species